AUGGGGACAGAACGUCACUGUUCAAAUCUACCGGGAGGAAACCACAUUGGAGCAGAAGAUCUGAGGAUCCUGACUACUUCAUUCCAGUGUUCUGUCAAAACGGCCUCUGAGGAAAUGCUUUUGAGAGGGUUUGAGAACAAUGGCUGUCUUCUGCGCUGACCUGACAAACAUCAGGAUGGACACCAAACUUUGGUGCAAUUUUCAGAGGUAGGCGGUACAUUUUCACAACUAAGUACAAAACUCAAAGCAGAUCAUCAAAAAUGCAGUUGAUUCAAAACUCAUUUUAAAUUGACUUAGUACAAUACACCAAAUCAGUCACUUUUCCACCAAAUGUAGUGUUUCAUCUAGAAAUACAUGUUUCACAUUGCAAUACAUGUUCAUAUAAAGUAAUUGCCUUUCACAAUGCUCACAUUACUUUUGGCUAUGAUUGUCUUCUCUUUUGUUGAAAUACAUUUUACCAUUACUUAAUCCGACUGUUCUUAAUUGAUGAUCACUUAAGCAUUUAAAAAAAAAAUCUAACUUUAUUUGUCACAUGCGCCGAAUACAACAAGUGUAGGCUUUACCGGGAAAUGUUUACUUACCAGCCCUUAACCAACAGUGCAGCUCAAGAAGAAGAACAUAUUUACCAAGUAGACUAAAAUAAAAAGUAACACAAUAAGAAUAACAAUAACGAGUCUUUAAACAGGGGGCACCGGUACCGAGUCAGUGUGCAGGGGUACAGGCUAGUUGAGGUAAUCUGUACAUGUAGGUGGAGGCGGAGUGACUAAGCAUAUGUAACAACCAACCAGCGAGUAGCAGCAGUGUACAAAAGGGAGGGGAUGGGUGGUGGUGUCAUUGUAAAUUGUCCAGUGGCGAAUUUAUACAUUUUUCAGCAGUCUUAUGGCUUGAGGGUAGAAGUUGUUGAGGAGCCUUUUGGUCCUAGACUUGGUGCUCCGGUACCGCUUGCCAUGUGGUAGCAGAGAAAAGUCUAUGACUUGGGUGACUGGAGUCUCUGACAGUUUUAUGGGCUUUCCUCUGAUACUGCCUGGUAUAGAGGUCCUGGAUGGCAGGAAGCUUGGCCCCAGUGAUGUACUGGGCCAUUCGCACUACCCUCUGUAGCGCCUUAUGGUCAGAUGCCGAGCAGUUGCCAUACCAGGCGGUGAUGCAACCGGUCAGGAUGCUCUCGAUGCUGCAGCUGUAGAACCUUUUGAGGAUCUGAGGACCCAUGCUAAAUCAGUCUCCUGAGGGGGGAAAAGGUUUUGUCGUGCCCUCUUCACGACUGUCUUAGUGUGCUUGGACCAUGUUAGUUUGUUGGUGAUGUGGACACCAAGGAACUUGAAGCUCUCAAUCUGCUCCACUGCAGCCCCGUUGAUGAGAAUGGGGGCGUGCUCGGUCCUCCUUUUUCUUGUAGUCCACAAUCAUCUAUCUCCUUAGUCUUGCUCACAUUGAGGGAGAGGUUGUUGUCCUUGCACCACAAUGCCAGUUCUCUGACCUCCUCCCUAUAGGCCGUCUCAUCGUUGUCGGUGAUCAGGCCUAC
rnacentral:lncRNA from 13 species